rnacentral:rRNA from 1 species
CGCGUAGGCGGCUCCAUAAGCGGGCGGUGAAAGCCCGGGGCUCAACCCCGGGUCGGCCGUGCGGACUGUGGGGCUGGAGCACUGUAGAGGCGGGUGGAAUUCCGGGUGUAGCGGUGGAAUGCGUAGAGAUCCGGAAGAACACCGGUGGCGAAGGCGGCCCGCUGGGCAGUGGCUGACGCUGAGGCGCGACAGCGUGGGGAGCAAACA